rnacentral:rRNA from 1 species
AUUGAACGCUGGCGGCAGGCUUAACACAUGCAAGUCGAACGAGUGGCGGACGGGUGAGUAAUGCUUGGGAAUCUAGCUUAUGGAGGGGGAUAACUACGGGAAACUGUAGCUAAUACCGCGUACCAUAGGAUGAGCCCAAGGGGGAUUAGGUAGUUGGUGGGGGAAAGGCUCACCAAGCCGACGAUCUCUAGCUGGUCUGCGAGGAUGACCAGCCACACUGGGACGGAGACACGGCCCAGACCCCUACGGGGGGCAGGAGUGGGGAAUAUUGCGCAAUGGGGGAAAGCUGACGCAGCCAUGCCGCGGGAAUGAAGAAGGCCUUCGGGUUGGAAAGUUUUUUCGGUAGGGAAGCGUUAACUACAGAAGAAGCACCGGCUAACUCCGUGCCAGCAGCCGCGGUAAUAC